rnacentral:rRNA from 1 species
AACGAACGCUGGCGGCAGGCCUAACACAUGCAAGUCGAACGCUCCAGCAAUGGAGAGUGGCAGACGGGUGAGUAACGCGUGGGAACCUACCCUUUGGUUCGGAAUAGCCCAGGGAAACUUGGGGUAAUACCGGAUAAGCCCUUCGGGGGAAAGAUUUAUCGCCAAUGGAUGGGCCCGCGUCGGAUUAGCUAGUUGGUGGGGUAACGGCCCACCAAGGCGACGAUCCGUAGCUGGUCUGAGAGGAUGAUCAGCCACACUGGGACUGAGACACGGCCCAGACUCCUACGGGAGGCAGCAGUGGGGAAUAUUGGACAAUGGGGGAAACCCUGAUCCAGCAAUGCCGCGUGAGUGAUGAAGGCCUUAGGGUUGUAAAGCUCUUUCGACGGGGACGAUGAUGACGGUACCCGUAGAAGAAGCCCCGGCUAACUUCGUGC